rnacentral:lncRNA from 1 species
AAGUUAUUGCUUUAAAGAUCUGAUAGCAAUAUAUGAAGGAUCACACUCUCUAUUUUCUGAAACCAUCUGCGUGCACUUCAAUUGCAGGAUAUAUGAUUGCCUAUGGAAUCAAUUAGAGUUAAUUGGAAAUGAGCAAGUUGUGCUGAUGUAGGAGUCACUGCAUACUCUAUAUGUAGAUACAUUCAUACGUAAAGAAAAAGAGAUAAAAGUAUAUGGUUGGCUAUAAUAUGGAAAGUUUAAAAAGUUAAAAUCCACAAAGCAUAAAGUAUAAAUAUGGAAUCUGGAAGCACUGAAAAAGCAUUGUAUUGAAUCUGGAUACUAUGUAGAGAGAAAAAUAAGAUAUGUUUGACUAUAAUCAAGAGAAUGCGAGAAAAAACGCAAAAAGAAAGAAAGAUAACAGUUAUUUGUUCUAAAAGCAUAUAUAUAAUAUCUAUAUAUAUACAUAUAAAUUUUUAUUUAACUUUUUUUUAUGCAAUGUUUAGAGCAACUUAUGACAUUAAUAAUUGCAGAAUAUAUUUAUGUUAUUAA